rnacentral:rRNA from 1 species
UACAGAGGGGGCAAGCGUUGUUCGGAAUUACUGGGCGUAAAGGGCGCGUAGGCGGCCUGCUAAGUCGAACGUGAAAUCCCCGGGCUCAACCCGGGAACUGCGUCCGAUACUGGCAGGCUUGGAUCCGGGAGAGGGAUGUGGAAUUCCAGGUGUAGCGGUGAAAUGCGUAGAUAUCUGGAGGAACACCGGUGGCGAAGGCGGCAUCCUGGACCGGCAUUGACGCUGAGGCGCGAAAGCUAGGGGAGCAAACGGG